ensembl:lncRNA
GGGGGGGGGGGGUACGUUUUCCUUCUUUGAGCUAUUAAUUUUAUAAGUCAUUCCAAACAGCCUCUCACCUGGGUUGCUCCACCUCCCCCAACAGCAGCUGGUGGUGGAGCACCCUUUUAGCUGAUGAGAAGCCCUCAAUCACUGCCAGCUGCACGCUGCCCCUGAACUCCAUCUUGCAACUCCCACCUUCCCAGAAGAUGUUACACAGCCGUGCUUUAGUGAGCUAUCAAUUAAGGGAAUGUAGCUAUCCUAAGGUGUGUCUGAGGAAGGUUCUGCCCCCACCCCGUUUCCUUAGCACUGUACUACACGUUUUUAUGAAGCUUGCAACCUGAAUGCUUCUUGAGUUGCAGGGCUGGUCCUCUGUGUGCAUGAAAUGUGAAGUGUGCCUGCAGUCCAACCACCUCAUUCUGAGCCCCCGCACCAAGUGCAGAUGGAUUGGUUCUUUGGCCAUUCACCUUACCUCCAAGGUUAGUAACUGACUGCAGGUUUCUGGAUCCUAUGCUUCUUUUCUUUUUUUGUCUGAACCUUUUCAUGACUAAGAUAUAUGUCUGGGCUUUCACAGAAAAGCACAAAUGUUAUUUCAUUCAGCCUACCCUGGACUUGUAACGGCAUUUCCCACUUAUGCUAUGACUUGUUAGGCCUCCCCUUACGUUUUACCUGCCUCACUGUUAUCACACAUCAAAGAUAUGGGCUGAGUACUGACUAAAUACAAGGCAUGCUCCAGCUUAUUUCUCUUUAAAGUGCCAGAGGCCAAGUUCUCCCCUCAGACUCGAAGCAUGGCUCCUCUUUGAUCUGACAGGAGCUGUGUGCACAGUACCUGGGGGCAUGGAUCAGCUUACGUGCGGUUUCCCUCCUCUCCCUCCCAAUUAUUACAGGAAGCAGCAGCUUUUACAGUGUAAAUGAGACAUUUGAAAGCAGCUGUUGUCAGAAGGUUCCUUCUAAUUCC